rnacentral:tRNA from 1 species
GACCCUAAAAAGUCCCGAAAGCA